GUUACAUGAAUUGGGCCCUGCCUGCUUCUCUAUCUUUAAUCAUUAAGACCCACACACACUGGUUUUCUUUCUAUUCUUCAAAUACACCUCAAUCUCUCCUUAGUUUCUGGAUUUCUGCCUGGAAGGCUUGUCCCUCAGGUUGGCUUUACCAGACCCCAGCUCAAAUGCCUGCCUUAUCAGAGAAGGCAUUCCCUGAUCACACCAAAGAGCUCUCCCCAUACUCCCUCUGCAAAGUUCCUAGAAGCUCUCAACAAAUUAUUUUCUGAAUAAAUAAAUGAAUGGAUAACUAAAAUACAUGCCAAAAUAUAAAUACCCACAGGGAACAUAACUACCAGCUUUCUUUGCUCUUUCUAUAUAACUUACAAGUCUAUUUGUUGCUAUUGCUAUACCUUCACAGGUAUUAUACCUAAAUGUUUAAAAUAAAUGAACCCAUCGAGGCUCAGUGGUUAAUGAACCCUACUAGUAUCCAUGAGGACAUGGGUCCGAUCCCUGGCCUCACUGAGUGGGUUAGAGAUCAGGCGUUGCCGUAAGCUAUAGCACAGGACACAAACGUGACUUGGGUCCAGUGUUGCUGUGGCAGUAGCACAUGCCAGCAGCUGCAGCUCCAAUUCGACCCCUAGCCUGGGAACUUCCAUAUGCCAUAGGUGCAGCCCUAAAAAGACAAAAAAUAAAAUAAAAUAAAGGAAUGUGCAAAGUUAUUAUACACAGACAAUGCAAACAAAAAGGUAGCAGACAUACCAAGAUUAAUAACAGAAAAUAAUUUAAGGAACAAACAAUUAACACAAAAAAGAUCAUGUUGGGAGUUCCCAUUAUGGCUCAGUGGGUUAAGAACACAGCUAGUAUCCAUGAGGAUGUUGGUUCAAUCCCUGACCUCACUAAGUGAAAUACGGAUCCAGUGUUGCCAACAAGCUGCAAGCAGAUGUGGCUCGGUUCUGGCAUUGCCUUGGCUGUGGUGUAGGCUAGCAGCUACAACUCCAAUUCUAUCCCUAGCCUGGGAACUUCCAUAGGCCAUGGCUGCAGCCUUAAAAAAUAAAAAUAAAGAAUAAAAAAAGAGAUUGUUACUAUUAAAAGACACUAUUGCAAAGUCAUAAACUAUACAACAAACUACAUCACGUUAAAACCUACAAAACCAGAAAUACAAGGAGAAUUUAAGAAAAAGAACAAUAACAGGAGAAUGUGAACAUAGCUCCUCAAAAGGAUGAUGCCAUUUACAAGCCAGAUUUAACAGAUACAUACAUACCACUCUGAACCCAACAAAGAAUAACCCAUAUGAAAUAUCUGUAAAAAUUCGUUACAAUUAAGCCAUAUAAGUUAUACAAGGAGUCUCAAUUAUUGCAAAAUUAGGAAAUACUACAGCCAUAGUCUCUGAUUUUAAUAAAAUUAAAUAUGAAAUUAACAAAAACUAUGAUAUGAAAGAAGGAAACUAAAAUGACAGACUAUUUAAAAACUACCAAAAGGAAGGAUACAAUAUUUCUAAAACUAUGGAGAUUUGGUCAAAAGGCUUCCUCAGAAAACCAAAGACCAAUUUUCAAUUGUGAAUGUAUGCAGAUACAAAUCCAAUCUAGCAGGGCAUUGAAAGAAUAGUGCACCAUGACUGCAAGAUUUUUAUUGCUUUAGGUGAAAUGGUGAAAUAUCAGCAAUAAAUCAAGUAUUGGGGAGAUCCAGAGCAAGGUGAUUUGCACUGCAUAUGUCUAACACUGGACAUUUAGGGAUGUAUUAAUGUAAUUGACUUUCAGUAGUUCAAAUAAACAUGAUUCAUUUGCAUGAUACAUUUUGCAAAGUAAAAACAGCAGCGGCUUUACACCAACACUAUCCAGACUUCCCAAAGACUGCUCAAUGUGCAUGGUAAGAAAGAAUAUCCAUUUUAUAUUAUACUGACAAAAAUCAUUAGGCAUAAAGUUCUUUCAAAAGAAUCAAAAUGUAUAUUUCAAUGUCAACUUAAAUUUUUUCCUCUAUUUGAAGAUUACUCAUAGAACUGUCAUCUCCCACAGCUAAGUAAAAAUUUUCUUUCUUAAAAGUAUGUUUGUUUUUCAUAAUACAAGCAACCUGAAGUAGCCUAUUAUAGUAGGGAAAUACUCAGGAUUAAAGGGAAACCUUAAAAGGGAGAAGAUUCUGCUCUGAUUUUCAUUUAAGUUAGUACUGACAAAAACUCUAUCCUAGUUAUUCUAAGCUAGGUCUUAUACACAAAACCACUUGGGUAGCCCCCCUUAUCUGUGGGUAUAUGUUCCAAGACCUGCAGUGUAUGUCUGAAACAGAAGACAGUACUGGCCCCUGUUUUCUGUUCAUGUCUUCCACCCAAAAUUUGAUGCCUUUUCUAUCUUACCUAGGUAAUCCUCACACAUUGUAGCCAUAACUUUUGCAAUAUGAGGUGUGACAACAAAACUAGUAUGAAUUUCUUUUUCCUUCUUCACGAUUUCACAGAUGGAAGAUUCAUUCUUACCAGAAGUCUUAGCAAUCUCAGUGGAGAAUUUUUUUUCAUUUUUUAUUGACUUUCACCGUUUCACCAAAAGCGAGCACUUAACGGAUUCUCUUUGACGGAUCUGAACUGCCAGCAUCACUACUCUUGUGCUUUGGAACCAUCAUUAAGUAAAAUAAGGGCAACUUGAACCUCCACAACUAAUGUGAUAACUGAACCAGCUACUAAGUAACUAACGGGAAAGGUACACUGGCUAAAGGGAUGAUUCACAUCCCAGCUGGGACAGAACAAGGAUGCCACGAAAUUUCAUCACGCUAGCUCAGAAUGGUGAACAAUCUAAAACUUAUUUCUGGAAUUUCCCAUUUCAUCUUUUCAUACCGUGGCUGAUGGUGGGUAACUGAAACCAUGGAAAGCAAAACUCUGGAUAGGAAAACCAUGGGGAAAGGGGAACUACUGUCAUUUGUUGGCCAACAUAAUCACUGUUUCUUCAACUCAUCUGGUAUGGAAGAAAGAAGGUCCUUUAAAUAAAAACAACCACAAUUUUACAAUGGACCAGAACAGUGGUAAGCUGACAGAGGUUUCGCAUCAAACUGACGUGAACCACUCAAUUGAUUUUGCCACCCCCAAUGUGACAUGUGAAGAGCUGAGCAGCAUAGGAACAGCUAGACAGCUGAGCUCAAAAAAACUGUUGCAUUAUUGAAGUAUUACAUUAUUCCAGGUCAAAAACUGCUACUUUCUUAUUAUAAAUAAAACUGCUUAAGGUCAAAGAUGUUACUAUACUAAGUUCUGUUCGAGGAUCCAUUCAGGACAGUACUGUCUCCAAUCUUACAAAGGAACAAGAAAAAGCACUGAGGAUCAAACAGCUAUUCUAAAAUUAUCUGCACCCUGCUUCCAUCCAUUAGUGUGACAACUGAAGAAGUGGCCUUAAACAGGUUUUACCCUUAGGUUACACCACUUAAGCAUACUUUUUCUGGGCAGACUGAGCUAUCUAGGAUGUUUAUGGGUUUUGAGAUAUUUAUGGAAAAAUUUUCUUAAGUUGACAUAAGGAAGACCAUAUAACAUUACAGUAACUUCCUUGGAGCCAUUUUUGGACAUACACACAAAAAAAUCACUAGAAUUAUCUAAAGUGAUAGUUCUGACUCAUACGACAAUCUUGUUGUUUCAGUUGUGAAGGCAUAAAAGUUUCCUUUCCAAGAGAAGCAAAAAGGAAAAACAGCAAAAACAACAAACACAAUGUCUACAAAUUCAAGUUGACAAGGAAAUGAAGGAACUGGACCAGAACAAGACUGUGUCAAACUCUUGGGCUUAAGUCACUGAGAAUACAUAAAUCAAGCCAAAUCCUCCACACUUCACUGAAUGAGGAAUUUUUUCACUGGAGCUUUCAAACUGACAAUAAAUCGUACGGGGAUAAGUCACAUAUCUUUAUCUGGAGCUGAAAUUCAAGAAAGAAAAGUACCUUAAAUUUGUCUUUCUUUAGAUCAACACUGCCUAAUCUAGAAAAUCUACCUAUUUACAAAAAUCUACCUGAUGAAAAAUUUCUGAAAUUAAAUAUGGUGAUGGUUGCACAACUUUGUAGCUAUACGUAAAAAAGAAACUGAGUUUUACACUUCAAAAGAGUGAAUUUUAUGGGAUGUGAAUUAGAGCUCCACAAAGCCAUUAUAAAAAAUAACAACAACCCCAGUAUAUAUUAACCUUAAAAUCUAUUUACAGAUUAUCCUUCUCCAAGUAUGCAUGUGCAUGCUAUGCAUACAAGUGCAGGAAGGCAGGGCAGUCAGCUAGGGAGUCAACAUUAGGAAGACCAGUUGGGGGCAGGGGGGAGGCAUGGAUUGUUAAUACUUUGAAAUUUAAUUUUUUUCAUCAAAUAUCUCAGAUAUUCAAAAAAGUAUAAAGUAAGAAUUCCUGUCAUGGCGCAGCUUAAAUGAAUCCAACUAGAAACCAUGAGGUUUCGGGUUUGAUCCCUGGCCUUGCUCAGUCGGUUAAGGAUUCGGCAUUGCCAUGAGCUGUGGUGUAGGUCGCAGAUGUGGCUCAGAUGUGGCGUUGCUGUGGCUGUGGCCGGCAGCUGUAGCUCUGAUUAGCCCCCUAGCCUGGGAACUUCCAUAUGCCAAGGGGUGUCUAAAAAGACAAAAAAAAAAAAAAAAGGUAUAAAAUAGAGUUUCCAUUGUGGCUCAGCAGUAGUGAACCAGACUAGUAUCCAUGAGGACACAGGUUCGAUCCCUGGCACCACUGGGUGGGUUAAGGAUUCAGCACUGCCAUGAGCUGUGGUGUAGGUCGCAGAUGUGGCUCGGAUCCUGAGUUGCUGUGGCUGUGGUGGAGGCCAGCAGCGGCAGCUCUGAUUCGCCCCCUAGUCUGGGAACUUCCAUGUGCUGCAGGUGCGGCCGUAAAAAGAAAAAAGAAAAAAAAAAAAAA
rnacentral:lncRNA from 1 species